GGCGGGGGGGGGGGGGAGGGUCAGCGGUGGCAGACCACCAGGUCCUUGUCCUUGGUGAUCACCCGCCAGUAUUUCCAACACCAGUCCCUCCGGGGAAGCCUGUGGACCCCCUAAACCAGGGUGGGCAACCCUCCCAGGCACCCCGGGACUUUUCAGUGUUGUGAUGGCCCUUUGACUCCCCUCCCUGGCCAUCUGCAGGGGAGGGGGGGUACUGACAUUCCCUGCCUGUACCUUAAAGCCACGUGGGGGGCAGGUGACGCAAAGGGACCAGAUCCACUGGCCUGGACGAUCAGAGCACUCGGGGCAGCGAUCUCUCUGCUGAACCUCGUUGCUUCACGACGUGCAAGAUUUUCUUAACACGCGAUAUAAAAGAAGGAUUUAGAAGACAUGCUGAUGUGAUCCUUUUCAUGAGUAUCAGCGAUCUGCAAACACAUUCAGUGUUUCAAAACCUUUCUUCAAUUAGUAGUUCUCACUCUGUCCUCUGCCUCACCACCCCCGUGUAAACUCGCUCCCUUUAGAACACGUGUGACUCCCACAGUGAGUCUCUAGAUGGAGGGAGGGUUUGGCGGUGGUGCCUGGAGCUUUGACAUUUGAAAAGGCCCCUCAAGAGCCGAGGGGUGUAGGAGAGGAAUCCUUCCCCUCCCCUCUGUUUCCCUCGAGAAUCACUUAGUCGGGUGAGGCCGGCACCCCCAAAUCCUCCCAGCUUACAGCGCUGAGAACUAUUUGAGAAACCAGUGUAGGCUUCUCUCAGAAGCAGAAAGGCCUGUGUCCUCAGAGAUCAUGAGUCCAUCUGGUGUUCCCACAUUUCCGUGCUAACCUCACCCAGGCCGUGCGAAUGCCUUGUGGAUGAUGAAGAUGUCACAGGCCUGGCAGAGUGACUGCGGCCCGCACGAUCUACCAGCUCCAGAGGUCCCUGCAAACUUGAGCGAGCUUGCUUUGGGCCCCGGUAUAAAUGACAGUGCAUAGGAGUGAAGAGAAAGUCAAGCCUGCAUGCAUUUCCUGCCGUCUGCGGAUUUUUUUUUCUCGACACUGCCUGUGAGGAAUUAUGCACCAACUCCACAAAAGCCACCGGCCCUGCUCCUGUCACAUCACCACCCAGGAGCCACCAGCUGCCAACGGCUGCCAGGGCCCCAGCCAUCAUCACGGAAGACUACGGCAGUAAGAUCGUUCUCUAAAUGUCACUGUCUACCCCCUCACCGUGCAAGUUCUUUAGUCUGUGCCGGUGCCUUAAAAGCUUCUGCUGGCUUUGUGUUGAGCAAGCCUCAUCUGUACUCCAGGUGGAUCUGGUAGUUUGAUCGGCGCAAGGUAAGACGUGGGAGCCUGGACCGUUUAUUCUGGAAGAAAUCCAGAAAAGACUAUGUUUUUGGGAAAGAGCGGUGGAAAUUACUGCAGAGGAACUGGCAUCCACAGGGCCGGCCCCGGUGGCCGCUUCCUCAGCCCUUGAGAGCAGAGUCGUCGCCCCAAAUGUGGACAGUGUGGAGGCUGGGAGACCCCGGGCCAGCCAAGCUACGGGGGGCUUCCUGACCAUGGGCUCCGGGCGGUGACGGCGCUGCAAGACCUGUGCUUUCUGUAACCCAGAGUCACAAGAGCCCGGGGCCUCUUUCACAGGGUGUGUUCACACGGGGAAAAGGCUUGAACUCUCAGCACACCCAGUGAAGCCUAGUGAGCGGCCCAGCCAGCAGUGCUGGACCAGUGCAGGCGUUCCCCCUGGGGUGGUUGAGGGGACCGAGGGAAGCCUCCGGAAACGGACAGGAUGCCGGAAGGUUACAGGUGUAUCCGGUCGCUGACCUGAGUGGGGGUGGUGAGGAGACGCUGCAGGGCAGAGGGUGUAAAGGCGGGCUGGGGUCCAAAUAGGGGGGCCCUGAGGGGCUCCGGACUUUAUGGGUACCUGGUAACUUUGUAAAGUCAAGGGCAAAGGGAAGAAGGAAGACGUGGGUCUCAACUUCCCCUCCACCCCAGUCAUGUGGCCCCUACCGCUUCUAUUUCACAGGCUGCUGCUUUCCCUGUAGACACCGAAAAGUAGACUUUCUCACUCUCCCGGCAAGAGACCGCAGUGCAGGAAAAUAAAGAUGUUUUCCACAGUGGGAGCUGCCAGCGGGGGACUGCUGUGCCCAGAACCCCGCAUUCCAUCCUCCAACAAAUACUGACUGGGGGUCUACCCUGUUCCAGGGGAGCUUCCAACGCUAGCUCCUUAGGGAAUCAAAUCUCUGGUGCCAGGUGAAAACGAACCUGACCUGCAAUCCGGGACCUCGAGAAACCUGACAACAAAGACACCUGUGGCUUGGGGGAGCUCCCGGAGCCGCCACAAGAGCAGGGGAGUCUGGCGUCCCUGCCUGUGGCUGGAGAACACAGGCGAGCCGUGGGCCCGUGGAGGUCGAGCUUGGGAGCCAAGCCCCGGCCCCAGGGGGUUGUUGCUGGGACACUGUCGCUAGGCCGCGCCACCGGCUUCCUACGAGCUUGCAGACCACAGACGCAGCACAGGCCGGAGCUGUUGGCGCAUCAGACCCUGGACGCGAGUGACCCCGAACCCCGAGUCUAGCCCCGGGUCGCGCGCCCACUGGUCAGUGCAGGCGGCCGUGCCGCGGGAAAAUCAGAGCCGAGCGGAUCGCGCUCCCGACGGAGGCGCAAAGGACGCACAUGGCCACGUCCACGGCGCCCACGCAAGGACCGGCUGCUGGUGUGAGGUCACCGUACAAACCGAGGAGCGGCGCCUUCCUUAUAUGCGGGGGAUCAAACCCAGGGAACAAGGAGGAGGGAAGAAACGUCGCCCCAGGACUCAUGCAGCUAACCGCAGGUGCAGCUGCGGCCCGGCUUCCAGGGACUCGGCUUUGGUGGCAGGUGUGGCCACAAGAAAGAUGGCCAGGUGGUACCGGACGGAGCUCUGCCCAUCAUUCGUGCCCCAGGGUGCCAAGUGCCGUGCUGAGCAGUGGGGACCCGCGGGUGCACGCGGCCGUCCUGCACACCGCAGACCCCCACCAAGUGAGUAGGGGGUCGCAAGUGGAGCAGCUGCAGAGAUGUAAGUAAUUAGUUACAAUCUCGAAUGUGGAAGAAUGACUUGAGGCCCCACGGGACACGCUUGGUGCACAAUUGGUGGUCUUGUCGUACUCAGCAGAUGGCUAAGCUAGAGUGUUUAGGUUGACGAAACUUUGAGGGUGGGCUGGGGAAGAGAGGGGCUGAUUAAGCUUAAAGGAUUUGGAGGGAGCGAGAGAAUAAAUAGGGAUGAAACAGCAGCUGUAGGGAAAAGAAUCUUGAAGAAGGAACAGAAAUUUUUUUUUUCAACGUUUAUUUAUUUUUGGGACAGAGAGAGACAGAGCAUGAAUGGGGGAGGGGCAGAGAGAGAGGGAGACACAGAAUCGGAAACAGGCUCCAGGCUCUGAGCCAUCAUCCCAGAGCCUGACGCGGGGCUCGAACCCACGGACCGCGAGAUCGUGACCUGGCUGAAGUCGGACGCUUAACCGACUGUGCCACCCAGGCGCCCCAAACAGAAAUGUUUUAAAGGGGAUUUUAGGAAUUUAUGUGAUUUGCAAUAUAACAUCCUUCUCCAGCAUUCAGUAAAAUGAACGUCACUCAUCCAUCCUUCUGGAAUUUGUGGGAGAAUUUUGAGGUGCAAAGAUGUGCAGGUUAACCACCUAACACUCAUUUGGGCAGCGCAGAAUGGAAAUACCCAAGAUAAUAGUGGCUUAAAUGAAAUACAUAUGUAUUCUUCUCUCAUGUAAAGGAAGUCCGUAAGCUGUCCAAGGCUGGUCCAUGAUGGUCCAUGAUGAUAAGAUCCAAGGACCUUGCAAUCUUCUGCUCCAUUUUUCAAGUGGUGGCUUCCAUACUCAAGAACACUUUGUUAUCCAGAAUAGCUGCUGGAACUCCGUUCAUCACAUCAGCCUUCCAGGCAGCUGGAACCUGGAAGGUGCGAAGGGCCAAAAACGUGUACCAGUUCUUUUCAAUAAAAUUAGGAUUCUAUUAUUAAGGAAGAAGAGAAUGGCCAUUGCACACCAGCGGAGUGGUCUCUCACACACUUACUCUGGCCUGAGAGCGGGAGUGGAGUGAAAAGCAAGAAUCUCUGUGAGUUCCUAAUGUGACAAAGCUGCCGUGAGGAGAUACAGAAAGAUCCAUGAGCUGUAGCGGUAAGUGGGCUGGAUUCUGGCUGGGCAAGUGCCGAGGGGUUCCCCAGGGGCUCCCAUUGGAAUUGAGUCUUGAGGCAUAACAAGAGUGUGCGGGCAAGAGGGGGGUGGCACUGUGGCAGGGAAAACGGGACGCCCCCGCUGUUCAGACUGGCAUCCCUCCGGCUCUGACUCCACCUCUGUCCUCUUCCUCCCUGCACAUUUCCGGGAGGGGAGACUCGUGCACCACCGGCCCCUGCCCCAGCGCCCUCAGAAGCGACCACAGCUUUCUCCGUCCAGCUCUGCAGGGGCCAGGGCGCGUGCUGCCCUCCCAUCCUCUCCCCACCUCCAUCACUGCUGCCUCUCCUUCUGAAGAGGGGCCAACUCCCAUUUUUCACUCCCAGACACUUCUGGAAAUUCCGCCCCAAGUGAUCAAGGAUUCGAACCAACCUGCUCAGUGGAACCCACGGACCCUUGGCUACCCAAGAGCUCUCACUUGGAAAAUUAGGCUCUACGUGUAUGAAAUAAAGCUUUGGUUUCUGUUUUGGGGUGGUGGGGGUUGUAUUUUUUGUUCGGUUUUGUUUGGCAUGAGGCACAGCAGCAGGGUCUCUGCGCUCUGGUCCAGAAGUUGUAGCCGGAUUCUCGCACAGGGAGUCGUGACAUGAGGCUUUUCUUUCCGGGAAGCGACUUUAUUCCCGCCGGUAAUGCCCAGAUGGGUUCGUACCCAAAGAGCUGAGCCCCGAAUGCCACCUGGCGUAGUUUUUCAAUAUAUUUUUUACUUCUUUGUCUCCCAUAUCUGGUAACACGCAAACAUGAAGUCUGAUUAAGUGGUCUCAUGUUACAAGGUCAUGAGGGAUGUUGUCACGUGGGUAUAUAGCCAGGUUGCCUUGAAGUUUGUUUUUUUUUUCUUAAGGAGGGGAUCCUACCACAUUCCCCCCUUUGAUGCUCGGACCCCUCUAUUUAGGGUCCAAGAGCAUGAUCUCGGUUUAGAGGUUUAUAUUUUUAUAACAUCAUUACACGAGUGGCCCUCUUUUUUUAAAUUAUGGCCUCAGUGAGACUGGAGGCAGACCGUACCACCAGCGGACCAAAGGAGGGUGAGAUUAAGCACCCUCCUAAAUGAGGAGGAGCAUUGACUUCCAUGAGGGUUUUGGAUCCCCGGAGAGUUGAAAAACAUCCUCCAGAUAACUUGCCAGGGUUCCAACCGGUCCAGGUCCGGACGGGGACAUGAGCAACUUUUUUUCUUUGAUCUGUGAUCUCCUCUAGGACUCUCCCAUCAUCAUCUCUCUGUGGGCAACAGUUGCUCAGGUUAAGUUUUCCACAAACACCUCUCUCAGAAGCAAUCAGGUAAUCUAAGGCCAAGCAAUCUUGAUAGAUGGCGUUGAACAUUUGGGUUUGCUGCUUGGCUGGUAAGUUAAGGGUUCUGGCAGUUUCAUUGGUUAUAAUUUCUAUUAACUGCUUGCAGUCUGAUUAUGCAGUUUAGUACGUAAAUGGGGGUGCGGCCAUCCUCUGCCGAGGUGGCAGGCCCAUAAUACUGGAUUAUAUGCUCAGGAGGCCAUUUAUUAUCUUUUUAAUUGUUAAUUUUUAAGGCAUGCUGCUUUCUUUGAGUCUCCCUUGUGCCCAUACAUUUGGACUCCCAAAUGUUUCCCUCUGGCAAGUGGGAGCAGGAAGAAAGAUGGACGAAGAGUUCCCAGCACAUAUGACCCUGACCAGACUGAGGGAAGUACCGCAUAGGCUGUCCUUUCAUACAUCUAGCAUAGUUCACCUGGGACCCACCAUUUGAUGGCUGCAUUGACAUUGUCUCAGGCCUCUCGGAGAUGAUAGAAGUCAGACAAGGAGUGGGGAUCUGGUUCAAGGUGAUCUGGGGGUCCCCCACCAUUGGGUUCUCUGGGCAGUCGAGUUAUAAAAUCUUUGGCCUAGGCAUGUUAAUUUUUUAACAAAGACGACGACGAACUUUUUCCCCACAAGGCAAGACGGUUUUUCCCAACAAUUGAGUUUUUGAGAAGCCAAACCCCGGUAGUAGAAUUGGGGUAUUUUGCUUUAGUAUAAGGUUUGUGGGAAUCUAAUUUUCUAGUCUCUUAUCGCCACUGUUUCCCCGUGUUGGUGCCAACGAAGCAUCCUGUCCACAAAAGGAGGGUGAGCGUUAGCAGCCAAGGCGGCCUCGGCCAAUCCUAUGACAAAGAGUAGAGUGAGAAUCACAAUAAUAGUGGGCAACAAGGCAUGACAGUGCCUCUCAGCAAGGAAACCUAUAAAAAUACGGACCGUCUUUUGUUUCAUUGGACCGUCGGUUCCUCAAGCUUCUGCCGUGCGUAGAUCAGUCAGCUUCCGGAGGGACUGAAGCAGGGCUGUGGUCUCCUGGAACCUCUGGAGUUGCAGAACCUUCCGUGUGGUCAGCUUGCACGGUGUGGAUGGAUCAGGAAGGCACUCCCAGUUUCGAGAUGCCGGCUUCACUCUGCCGUAGUGAACCCAGGGACCCGCUUCGGCUACUUUCCCGCAUAGGGGUGGACAAAAUGACAGUGAACGGUCCUCUCCAGAGGGGUUUUAGGGGUUGGACACUCCGCUCCUUCACCCAUACAGCAUCUCCUGGUUUAAAGGGGUGAGCGUCUGUGGUCAGACUCACAGGUAAUCGCUCCCUGACCCAGCGGUAUAAGGUGGUUAGGGUAGAGGCAAGGGCUCACAUCUGUUGUCUUAGGGUUAGAUUGCCUGUCUCAUUUAGAUCCCCCCCCUUAUUCCCUUGAUAAUGGGGGGAGGGUGCCCAUAAAGGAUCUCAUAAGGGGAGAACCCCGUCUGCUUCUUUAGCCUCCCACCUGCAGCUGUAGUCUGCCCCCCUGAAGGCCCCUUCUCUCUCCCUGCCUAAUGUUCACCCUUUCCCUAUUUAUUUCUCCCCUGGAACAGGGCCUGUGUCUGCUGUUAGGGAACAGGGACGAUGACUGUUCUGGCUUCUUCAAGCUGAUAAGGGACGGUGUAAGGGUACAGCAGUUAGAGUCUACCCAAGGGUCGGUGGAGUGGUCCCCCGUGUGGUUUUACAGGAAGGCUGGCGGGCAUGAGGCGGCAUAAACAUCAGCAGACGCAAAGGGAAAAACACAAAGUGAAGAUUAUACUGACCAACAAGAUGCCAUCUUAAGAUAAUGUCUACAGUUUGCAAACCUGUCAAACAACCUAGGAGAGACCCUGACUUUGCAAACAACAUAUGUCAAGGAAUCUCUCGUUAACCCAGGUGAUGGAGAAGCAGGCGAGCAGUAAGUAAUCAAUGGUGGCCCUAUUUCUGAGAGUUUGGCCCUAACUUAAUUAAAAAAAUUUUUUUAAGCAUCUGAUGUUUGUGAGGUGUUAUUUAGAGUUUUGUUGAGUAUAAGCAGAUGGUCUGCUUUAUUUUGAUGUGUAAAACUUUUAGGUAAAUUUUUAGCAAGCCAAACCUGGGUAUUAUUUUAUAAAGCAGAAUUUGUAUUACUUUUUGUGCCUUUUCUGUCUUGUAGAGGAAGGCCUUUACCCAAUUAGUAAAAAGUAUUAACCCCUA